ACCUACGGCCAUACCAUCCUGAACACGGCCAAUCUCAUCUGAUCUCGGAAGCUAAGCAGGGUCGGGCCUGGUUAGUACCUGGAUGGGAGACCGCCUGGGAAUACCGGGUGCUGUAGGCU
rnacentral:rRNA from 1 species